AUGUCAGAAUCAUUGGGAGCAAUGGACAUUUUGAAUGUGGGGAAAGAAAGAAAGAAGACAUUGUUGGAAAGAAAAAGCAGAUGUCGCAAGUGGACAAGACGACAAAAUACGAGAGAGGUGACUCCUACAAUGGUAUUAGACAAAAAGAUGGAAUGUGGUAAGGGAAAUCUAUUAGAUAUUAUGAUAUUGGAUGGAAAAGUGGAAACCUGUGGAAAAGGAGAGAAAAAGUUAAAGGGGCAAGAGGAGAUUGGAAAUCCCGUUACCAAAAUACCAGAGGUUGUGUUGGAAUCCCAACACUGUUAG